GGUCGCUGUGGCAGAGUGGUAACGCUCGCGACUUUCCUUCGUCAGGUCUCGGGUUCGAGGUCCGCCACGAUCU